rnacentral:rRNA from 1 species
UGGCUCAGAUUGAACGCUGGCGGCAGGCCUAACACAUGCAAGUCGAACGGUAACAGGAAGAAGCUUGCUUCUUUGCUGACGAGUGGCGGACGGGUGAGUAAUGUCUGGGAAACUGCCUGAUGGAGGGGGAUAACUACUGGAAACGGUAGCUAAUACCGCAUAACGUCGCAAGACCAAAGAGGGGGACCUUCGGGCCUCUUGCCAUCGGAUGUGCCCAGAUGGGAUUAGCUAGUAGGUGGGGUAACGGCUCACCUAGGCGACGAUCCCUAGCUGGUCUGAGAGGAUGACCAGCCACACUGGAACUGAGACACGGUCCAGACUCCUACGGGAGGCAGCAGUGGGGAAUAUUGCACAAUGGGCGCAAGCCUGAUGCAGCCAUGCCGCGUGUAUGAAGAAGGCCUUCGGGUUGUAAAUANCUUUCAGCGGGGAGGAAGGGAGUAAAGUUAAUACCUUUGCUCAUUGACGUUACCCGCAGAAGAAGCACCGGCUAACUCCGUGCCAGCAGCCGCGGUAAUACGGAGGGUGCAAGCGUUAAUCGGAAUUACUGGGCGUAAAGCGCACGCAGGCGGUUUGUUAAGUCAGAUGUGAAAUCCCCGGGCUCAACCUGGGAACUGCAUCUGAUACUGGCAAGCUUGAGUCUCGUAGAGGGGGGUAGAAUUCCAGGUGUAGCGGUGAAAUGCGUAGGGAUCUGGAGGAAUACCGGUGGCGAAGGCGGCCCCCUGNACGAAGACUGACGCUCAGGUGCGAAAGCGUGGGGAGCAAACAGGAUUANAUACCCUGGUAGUCCACGCCGUAAACGAUGUCAACUUGGAGGUUGUGCCCUUGAGGCGUGGCUUCCGGAGCUAACGCGUUAAGUCGACCGCCUGGGGAGUACGGCCGCAAGGUUAAAACUCAAAUGAAUUGACGGGGGCCCGCACAAGCGGUGGAGCAUGUGGUUUAAUUCGAUGCAACGCGAAGAACCUUACCUGGUCUUGACAUCCACGGAAGUUUUCAGAGGUGAGAAUGUGCCUUCGGGAACCGUGAGACAGGUGCUGCAUGGCUGUCGUCAGCUCGUGUUGUGAAAUGUUGGGUUAAGUCCCGCAACGAGCGCAACCCUUAUCCUUUGUUGCCAGCGGUCCGGCCGGGAACUCAAAGGAGACUGCCAGUGAUAAACUGGAGGAAGGUGGGGAUGACGUCAAGUCAUCAUGGCCCUUACGACCAGGGCUACACACGUGCUACAAUGGCGCAUACAAAGAGAAGCGACCUCGCGAGAGCAAGCGGACCUCAUAAAGUGCGUCGUAGUCCGGAUUGGAGUCUGCAACUCGACUCCAUGAAGUCGGAAUCGCUAGUAAUCGUGGAUCAGAAUGCCACGGUGAAUACGUUCCCGGGCCUUGUACACACCGCCCGUCACACCAUGGGAGUGGGUUGCAAAAGAAGUAGGUAGCUUAACCUUCGGGAGGGCGCUUACCACUUUGUGAUUCAUGACUGGGGUGAAGUCGUAACAAGGUAACC